rnacentral:lncRNA from 1 species
AUGCAAAGCAUUUCAUAAGUGUCCAGCAUUCUUUAUUAUUACUGCUAUAGAAUCUGAACAAAUUAUGUCAGAAUUGCUUUAAGAUUUUACAUUCUGCCUUUGAACGCCGAGGGUCACCCCUUAUCUUACAGAGCGUAAGUUAUUACAGUAGAAGAGGUCAAACUAUACAUUACAGAGAACAAACUGUUAGAAAAGGGAACUCCUUAAGAGCUGAAAGUGUUCAGUUUUCACAGAAGGAGCCUCUCACACCUAUAAUUUCCAAAUUAAAAGCAAAGUAAAGUGCACAGCUUAUAUACCGCCCAGUGCACUUAAAGUGCUCUUGGUGUGCUUUCCAAUUUAAUUAUGAAGGCUAAACAUUGCCCCCCCUUGAGCUAGAUACUUAGUGUGCUUUGUUUUGUGAUUGGUCUUUGAAAAGUCAAUCCCAACUUCAUUUGUACUCAAAUAAAAUAAUCUGCCAGAAUCACAUUUGUGAAACAUUAAAGUCGUUUCAUAUUCUAUUGAUCACAAUAUGUGCAAUUAUUAAUUUAUUAAUUCUAUGAUUAGUGGGUAAGGAUAGUCAUUUUGGGUCCUUUUAUGGAAAAAGCCCCAAGAUGACAAUUUUGCCUCUUUUAUGGGAUAAAAAUUAAUUAAUUAGGCUCUGAGAUUUCAGAUCAGAGAAAGUGUAAAGCAUUUUUCCAAAUAUAAGUCUGUGCCUGUGGGUAGACCUUACACUAUUCAAAACGAGGGUCCCCUAAAAGCUCACUGCAGCAAGCAAGAGUACCUGCAGGUCUUAAAGCUUUUACUUAACACUCUACUGUCCUACCACACCUUUUACCAACAAAAGCUGACAGAUAACAAGAAAAACAGAGAAGAUCCAGAAAAGAAAAAAAACAGGUAAGGGGAUAUCAAUGAAUCCACAUAUUUCUGUUACGUCCAUGCUGGAUGUACACUGAUACAUUGCCAGAAUGGCUCCCUCAUCUGAUGUAUGCAAGUCUGGGAAGGGAAAGGAAACCACACAAGAUGGAAAAUAUACAGAUGGCA